GACGAACGCUGGCGGCGUGCCUAAUACAUGCAAGUAGAACGCUGAAGGAGGAGCUUGCUUCUCUGGAUGAGUUGCGAACGGGUGAGUAACGCGUAGGUAACCUGCCUGGUAGCGGGGGAUAACUAUUGGAAACGAUAGCUAAUACCGCAUAAGAGUAGAUGUUGCAUGACACUUGCUUAAAAGGUGCAAUUGCAUCACUACCAGAUGGACCUGCGUUGUAUUAGCUAGUUGGUGAGGUAACGGCUCACCAAGGCGACGAUACAUAGCCGACCUGAGAGGGUGAUCGGCCACACUGGGACUGAGACACGGCCCAGACUCCUACGGGAGGCAGCAGUAGGGAAUCUUCGGCAAUGGACGGAAGUCUGACCGAGCAACGCCGCGGGAGUGAAGAAGGUUUUCGGAUCGUAAAGCUCUGUUGUAAGAGAAGAACGAGUGUGAGAGUGGAAAGUUCACACUGUGACGGUAUCUUACCAGAAAGGGACGGCUAACUACGUG
rnacentral:rRNA from 1 species